rnacentral:rRNA from 1 species
UACGGGGGGUGCGAGCGUUGUCCGGAAUCACUGGGCGUAAAGAGCGUGUAGGCGGCCAGAAAAGUCCGCUGUGAAAACUCGAGGCUCAACUUCGAGCUGUCGGUGGAAACUUUCUGGCUAGAGUCCGGAAGAGGAGAAUGGAAUUCCUGGUGUAGCGGUGAAAUGCGCAGAUAUCAGGAAGAACACCCGUGGCGAAGGCGGUUCUCUGGGACGGUACUGACGCUGAGACGCGAAAGCGUGGGGAGCGAACAGG